AUAAAACAAGUAGAUUAUGUGAGCCGAGUAUGGCCGGUUCAAAUGUUAAAGGGUUAAAAACAUUCCAAUUGUGACCAUCGCUUCCAUCUUUUUUUUAACCUAAAUCUCCUGUCACGCCUUAUUAUUUUCUAAAAUACAAUAGCUAAUACAGUUCGGGUUUAACACUGCAUAAAAUGAAUAGUUAUGGGUGGAGAUACCUUUGAUUACAGAUCUGCUAGACCAGAAGUGACCUUGGGCUAAACGACAGCGAUGGACUCGUGUGUGUGUGCUUAUGUACUGCUGUCCGUUGUCUUUUAUGUUGCUGUCACAGUUUCUAAAAUUUAAAAAUUAAGAGAACGAUUAUAUUUGUACACAUUACUGCUUAGAGCUUCUGAUCUGUUUUUGAAUACAAUAAUAUAACCCUUUAUCUGAUAGCUUCCCACUCUUUUUCUCUUCUACUUCCUCGUUCCAUCUUUUUCCGUUAAUCUGAUUCCCCAACCCUUUUUCUCUGUCUUGGGUUUUUUUCUACGACUUUCUCUCUCUCAACGUUAUUUAAUGUCUUUACUUUUUCAGAUCGAUCCAGCUUCUCGUGUUAAAACAUGACUUCAUAUAUCCUGUGAAAUGAAUACUGUGAUAUAGUAGAGUUGUUACUGCAGUCUUAACUUGAUAUAAUAUGGUGGAUAACUAUGCUAACCCAUACAUCUGGAUGGUUUAACUUAAUAGUUGUGUUAAUAUAGUAUAAACAUGAUGUCCAUUUUAUGAUAAGUCGAAGUUUAUGAUUUCGAUUCAUCUUCAGAUUGUAAAUAUCAGCAACACAGAACAAAUGAUAUGUUCAAUAUGCUUAGAGCAACUUUGGAAGAUGGUCUUUGAAUGUGGUGGACAUCUUUGUCAGAACCAUUUGUGUUGAGAAACUUUGUUAAUAAAAGGAUUAUACAUUGAUCA
rnacentral:lncRNA from 1 species